rnacentral:rRNA from 1 species
UAGGGAAUCUUCCGCAAUGGACGAAAGUCUGACGGAGCAACGCCGCGUGAGUGAAGAAGGAUUUCGGUUCGUAAAACUCUGUUGUUAGGGAAGAAAAAAUGUAUAGUAACUAUAUACAAAAGAGACGGUACCUAACCAGAAAGCCACGGCUAACUACGUGCCAGCAGCCGCGGUAAUACGUAGGUGGCAAGCGUUGUCCGGAAUUAUUGGGCGUAAAGCGCGCGCAGGUGGUUUAGAAAGUCUGAUGUGAAAGCCCACGGCUCAACCGUGGAGGGUCAUUGGAAACUAAUAAACUUGAGUGCAGGAGAGAAAAGUGGAAUUCCUAGUGUAGCGGUGAAACGCGUAGAGAUUAGGAGGAACACCGGUGGCGAAAGCGGCUUUUUGGCCUGCAACUGACACUGAGGCGCGAAAGCGUGGGGAGCAAACAGG